UCUUAUUCAUUCUUUCUAACUACUUUUUUUUUGUACCCAGUAACCAUCCCCACCUCCCUGUCAGCCCCCUACUACCCUUCCCAGCCUCUGGUAACCAUCCUUCUACUCUCUAUAUCUAUGAGUUCAGUUGUUUUGAUUUUUAGCUCCCACAAAUAAGUGAGAACAUGCGGUGUUUGUCUUUCUGUGCAUGGCUUAUUUUACCUAACAUAAUGAUCUCCAUUUUAUUAAAAAUGAGCUCACUGUAGAUGAGUGGAUUUGUUUCUGGGGUCUCUAUUCUGUUCCAUUGGUCUGUGUCUCUGUUUUUGUGUCAGUACUGUGCUGUUUUGGUUACUAUAGCUCUGUAGUAUAAUUUAAGGUCAGGUAAUGUGAUUCCUCCAGUUUUGUUCUUUUUUCUCAGCAUAGCUUUGGCUAUUCUUUUUUCUCAGGAUAACUUUGGCUUUUGUGGUUCCAUAUACAUUUUAGGAUUGUUUUUUCUAUUUCUGUAAAGAAUGUUAUUGGUAUUUUGAUAGGCAUUACAUGGGAUCCGUAGAUGGCUUUGGUAGUAUGGACAUUUUAACAAUAUUGAUUCUUCCAGUCCAUGAACAUGGAAUAUCUUGUCAUUUUUUGGUGCCUUUUUCAGUUUCUUUCAUCAGUGUUUUAUGAUUUUUAUUGUAGAGAUCUUUUACUUCUUUUGUUAAUUCCUAGGUAUUUGCUUUUAUUUGUGGCUAUUGUAAAUGGCAUUACUUUUAAAAUUUUCACUUUGUUCAUAGUGGGGAUAUAGAUAUGGUACUGAUUUUUGUAUGUCGAUUUUAUAUCCUGCAACUUUGUUGAAUUUGUUUAUCAGUUCUAAUAGUUUUUUUGUGUGUGUAGUCGAAGGAACUUCGGUCACCUUUUAAUUUAAUAUUUAUCUUUCUCAAUCCAGGAAACAUCUCUACAGCAUCCCUAACUGGGGGUUGAUCCAUUCAUUUCCAGACACAGAGAACAGAGUCACAUUCUGCUGUUUCCAUAUGUACCAUUUUAGUAAGACUUCUUGGGGCACAAGGCAGGAAGUUGGGGACAAUAUAUUUGUCUGCACCAAGGCAGCCUGAGAAGAGAGAAGUGAAUACUCCUGGGGUUAUUCUAUAUUAUUCACUUAAUAUUCUAAGUGAGUCCUCUAGGGGUACCUGAGACAUGGAGUAUGAAAGUACACAUUCACAAAAGUACCAGCUUUAAAACUAGAUUAUCUCUACUAUUCAAAAACACCAAGGAAAGGCCACACAAUGGAGACAAAGUGCAUCUGAGAUCUAGCAAAUUUCCCUGUUGGCCACAUACUGAUAAUGAUGUAUUAAAAUCAAUUCUAUACUGUGGGGUACUUAUUUGACAUUAAUAGGUACCAUGGUGGUUUAACAUAGUUGCUGCCCAGAGAAAACGCCGCACACUCACCUACACUAAAAUGAAGUCUGAGUCAGCUGCCUCCCCUCCGCCAUCCCUUCCAAAGCCAAUGGUUGAAAGUCACAGAAGUCCCUCUGCUGCCACCUAGUGACGACAAUGUGAAUACAACUACACAGCCUCCUGGGAAAGAAGUUUUGAACCACGUUUGCUUCUAAAGGAAGCCUGUAAUUACCUCUGAGUGCUCUAUUUUGGCUACAAUUUAAAAACAUAUAUAUUUUAAAACUCUAUAAACUCUUAUGCAUAUCCCUUUUUAAGAAUCUGACCUGUAAUGGAUGUAGCCUCACUUUCAAGAACCUAAAAGCUAUGCCCCCAAUUCAGGGAGUAGAACAGACAGGCUUAAGAACAGUGCCUAAAAAUGCCACUAAAUUUAUCUUUAAAAUGCCUGUGGUUCCUUAGCACUUGAAUUCCGUUAUGCCCCUGGGUAUAGUCACCUGGAUGUUAGGGGCUGUCAAAAUUCAGCCCUCAGUUGGUGAUCAGUAGGUUUUCCCUUUAAGUGGUUUCUGAAAGGAUUUUUUUUAAAAAUCUUGAAAUUCUCAUGUCUGGAUGAUGUUUCCAGUUUUGUGGAAGAAUAAAAGAAAAGGGACAUGAAAUUCUGGCUCCCUGGGGGCAGUGGCUGUGUCUUAUUAAUCUCUGUGCCCAUUGUACCAACACCGGUCAGUCACAGCAUGUACUCAACCAAUGCUGAUGAAUGCAGAGGGGCGAGGGGCUGGCACGCUCUUGACCCCUUAUAGGGGCUGCGUCGAUGGCCAGGGUUCAAUGGGAACUUUCUGGUACAGUCUUGCUCUGCCAAUCUUUCAAAUUAAGUGCAGCACAAUUGGAAGCCUCACAUUCUCAUAGACGGGUUGAGGAGGGCAUUAGGGGCAGAAAGGCUCACAUAAGGCCUGAGCGUGAGGUUUCCUGCCCAGCACUGCUGUGCCAUUGCAGCCCACCUUCUUCUCACCUUUCCUUCCACACCACGGCGCGGCAGGUGCAGAAACCGUGCUGGGAUUGAGGCCCUAGAGGCUGACUACAGGUCUUGGGGGCAAAACAUCUGGACACACAGCUGAAGAUGAGCCAAGUAUAUUAGUCAGGGUUCUCUAGAGAAACAGAACCAACAAGAUAGAGAGAUGCAGAGAGACAGAGGGACAGACAGACAGAUUUAAGUAACUGACCCAUAAAAUCUUGGAGGCUUGGCAAGUCCAAAAUCUGCAAGAUGGAAGUGGGCUGGCACAUUGGAGACUCAAGGAAGAGUUGCACGUUGAGUUCAAAGGCCGGCUGCUGGCAGAAUUCCUUUCUGCUCAGGUGAAGUCGGUCUCUGUUCUAUUAAGACCUUCAACUGAUUGGAUGAGGUCCACCCAUAUUAUGAAGGGUCAUUUGCUUUACUCAACAUCUACUCAUCUAAAUAUUAAUCUCAUUGAAAAAAAACCCCAGAAACAUCCAGAAUAGCAUUUGACCAAAUGUUUGGACAAUGCAGCCUAGCCACAUUAACACACAAAAUUAACUGUCACAGCAAGACACCAGGGAAGCAUUGGAAGAUGUUAGCGGCUGUCAUUGAAAUGGGUGCCGUCAGGUGGACGGCAGCCAUCCAUCGGGCAAGAGCGGGGCAGCUGGAAGGGCCCUCCCCUCCCGUUUGCUUUCUGCUCUUCACAGCUCACGGAUAGAGGAAUUUUCUCAGCACAUUUCCCAGGAGGAGUUUGGCACCACCAUUUCUUGAAAACAGAUGUCUGCAGGGAUGUGUGUGUGCCUGUGAAUAUGAAGUCCAGAGCCUGGGACUGAGAACAGCAAGGGGAACAGGUGGCCACAGGGGAGUUGCCAGAUUGCUGACUUAAGAUGUGCUCCCAGGGCUGCACUGGUGUCGGUCGUGAGAGCGAUCACGGUUUGUGCAACGUCUGAACUUUCUAUCAACUUAUGGUUUAAUCAAUUUGCUGUUUACUCCAGCUAUUUGCAACCUCUCCUCAGUUACUUGGUGUUCAGCAGUGUAAUAUAUCUUCAUGUGUGAAUAUAAAUAUACUAUUUAGUGGAAACUAAAAGGAAUUGUGGAGGAAGAAUUUUUUUGGAUAAUUUUAUGUUUUCAUAAUGUAAAAAUUAAAGAUAUUUGAAGAGUUGAGUAUGUCAGUUUUGGGGAUGCAAGAGAAUGACUUCGGGACUACCAUAAUAUUUAAAAUCAUCACUACUCUUUCUUUCCACCUAAGUCUCAUAGCAAAAGAGGAAAUUUACUUCAGUCUCUUUCUGUAGCAGAACAUUAUCGUGCUGUAUUCCUGUGUUCACUUAUCUGCGCUGGAUUGUGAGUCCUUACAGAGA
rnacentral:lncRNA from 10 species